rnacentral:rRNA from 1 species
GUUUUGGUGCUGGCUCAUCAGAUUGAACGCUGGCAAAUUCUUUACACAUGCAAGUCGAACGGCAGCACGGACUUCGGUCUGGUGGCAGUGGCGAACGAGUGAGUAAUGUAUCGGAACGUUGCUAAUGGCGAGGAUAACUACGCGAAAGCGUAACCUAAUACUAUACGCCCUUCGGGAAAGCGAGGGGACCUUCAGGACUCUCGCAUAUUGAAGCGACCCGAUAUCCAGUUCGGCUAGUUGGUGGGGUAACAGCUCUGGAGCGACGAUCAAUAGCUGGUUUGAAGGACGACCAGCCACUCCGGGACUGAGACACGGCCAGACUCUGCGGGAGGCGGCGAUGGGUACGGACGAUAGGGAAACCUGAUCCAGCCAUCCCGCGUGUGCGAUGAAGGCCUUCGGGUUGUAGCACUUUUGGCGGGAAAACAGCCUGGGAUAUUGCCCGUGCGGCGAUGAUGCCUGCGAGCGCACCAGCUAACUACGUGCCAGCAGCCGCCCGGUAAUACGUACGUGCAAGCGUUAAUCGGAAUUACUGGGCGUAAAAGCGUGCAUGAGCGGUUUGGAAAAAAUGUGAAAUCCCAGAGCUUAGCAGAACUUCGUGCAACUACCGAGCUAGGUGUGCUCAGAGGGUGGGUCACGUGCAAUUACUGAAAUGCACGUAAAUAUGCAGAGAACACCGAUGGCGAAGGCAGCCUCUGGGAUAACACAGCGCUUUCAUGCACGAAAGCGUGGGAGCAAACAGGAUUCGUCUCCCUGGUAGUCCGCCUAAACGAUGUCAACUGGCUGACGGGGCGGCUUCAGAGCCUUGGUAGCCUAUGCUCUGCGUGAAGUUGACCGCCCUAGAGAAUGCGAUCGCAGAUUAAAACUCAAAGGAAUUGACGGGGACCCGCACAAGCGGUGGAUGAUGUGGAUUAAUUCGAUACGCGCGAAAAACCUUACCUACCCUUGACAUGUCUGGAAUCCCGAAGAGAUUUGGAGUGCUCGCGGAGAACCGGAACACAGGUGCUGCAUGGCUGUCGUCAGCUCGUGUCGUGAGAUGUUGGGUUAAGUCCGCAACGAGCGUGACCCUUGUCAUUAGUUGCUACGAAAGAGGCACUCUGUGAGACUGCCGGUGACAAACCGGAGGAAGGUGGGGAUGACGUCAGGGCCCUCAUAAGCCCUUAUGGUAAGGAGCUUCACACGUCACAAUGGUCGGGACCGAGAGGGUCGCCAACCCGCGAGGGGAGCCAAUCCCAGAAACGAUCGUAGUCGGAUCGCAGUCUACAAGCUCGACUGCGUGAAGUCGGAGAUCGCCUGAAAGUAAUCGCGGAUCAACAUCGCGGUGAAUACGUUCCCGGGUCUUGUACACACCGCCCGUCACACCAUAGAAUUGGGUUUUACCGAUAGUUAGCCUAACCGUAGGAAGGCAGUUACCACGGUAGGAUUCAUGACGGGGUGAAGUCGUAACAAAAUUAA